GUGCUCAUAGCGUAGUGGAACCACUCUGAUUCCAUUCCGAACUCGGCUGUGAAACGCUACAGCGGCAACGAUACUAAAGGGGAAGCCCUUUGGGAAAAUAGCUCAGCACCAAGGUU